rnacentral:rRNA from 1 species
UUUUCUUGUUAGUUUUUGAAGUAUGGCCUGCCCACUGAUUGAAGGGCCGCGGUAUUUUGACCGUGCAAAGGUAGCAUAAUCAUUAGUUCUUUAAUUGUGAUCUGGUAUGAAUGGCUUGACGAGACAUUAGCUGUCUUUUUGAAUUUAGUUUUUGAGUUAAAAUUCUUAGAUGUUUUUAUGGGACGAGAAGACCCUAUAGAGUUUGACACCUAUUUUGUUUGUUUUUGUUUUAAGGUGUUUUGUUGGGGUGAUGGGAGGAAUAAACUUAACUCCUCUUUGUGUAUAUUAUUUAUACUUGUUUUGAUCCAUUUAUUUUGAUUAUAAGAUUAAAUUACCUUAGGGAUAACAGCGUUAUCUUCCUUGAGAGUUCUUAUUGGCAGGGAGGUUUGCGACCUCGAUGUUGGAUUAAGGUGAAUUUUCGGUGCAGGAGCUGAAUGAUUAGGUCUGUUCGACCUUUAAAAUCUU